rnacentral:rRNA from 1 species
CAGCAGCCACGGUAAAACAGAGGGUGCGAGCGUUAAUCGGAUUUACUGGGCGUAAAGCGUGCGUAGGCGGCUUUUUAAGUCGGAUGUGAAAUCCCUGAGCUUAACUUAGGAAUUGCAUUCGAUACUGGGAAGCUAGAGUAUGGGUGAGGAUGGUAGAAUUCCAGGUGUAGCGGUGAAAUGCGUAGAGAUCUGGAGGAAUACCGAUGGCGAAGGCAGCCAUCUGGCCUAAUACUGACGCUGAGGUACGAAAGCAUGGGGAGCAAACAGGAUUAGAGACCCCAGUAGUCCCUGUCUCUUAUAA